rnacentral:rRNA from 1 species
UGCAAGUCGAACGGCAGCACGGAGCUUGCUCUGGUGGCGAGUGGCGAACGGGUGAGUAAUAUAUCGGAACGUACCCUGGAGUGGGGGAUAACGUAGCGAAAGUUACGCUAAUACCGCAUACGAUCUAAGGAUGAAAGUGGGGGAUCGCAAGACCUCAUGCUCGUGGAGCGGCCGAUAUCUGAUUAGCUAGUUGGUAGGGUAAAAGCCUACCAAGGCAUCGAUCAGUAGCUGGUCUGAGAGGACGACCAGCCACACUGGAACUGAGACACGGUCCAGACUCCUACGGGAGGCAGCAGUGGGGAAUUUUGGACAAUGGGCGCAAGCCUGAUCCAGCAAUGCCGCGUGAGUGAAGAAGGCCUUCGGGUUGUAAAGCUCUUUUGUCAGGGAAGAAACGGUGAGGGCUAAUAUCUUUUGCUAAUGACGGUACCUGAAGAAUAAGCACCGGCUAACUACGUGCCAGCAGCCGCGGUAAUACGUAGGGUGCAAGCGUUAAUCGGAAUUACUGGGCGUAAAGCGUGCGCAGGCGGUUUUGUAAGUCUGAUGUGAAAUCCCCGGGCUCAACCUGGGAAUUGCAUUGGAGACUGCAAGGCUAGAAUCUGGCAGAGGGGGGUAGAAUUCCACGUGUAGCAGUGAAAUGCGUAGAUAUGUGGAGGAACACCGAUGGCGAAGGCAGCCCCCUGGGUCAAGAUUGACGCUCAUGCACGAAAGCGUGGGGAGCAAACAGGAUUAGAUACCCUGGUAGUCCACGCCCUAAACGAUGUCUACUAGUUGUCGGGUCUUAAUUGACUUGGUAACGCAGCUAACGCGUGAAGUAGACC